UACGUAGGGGGCAAGCGUUGUUCGGAUUUACUGGGCGUAAAGGGCGCGUAGGCGGCCACACCAAGUCACUUGUGAAAUCUCCGGGCUUAACCCGGUAGCGGCCAAGUGAUACUGUUGGGCUAGAGUGCGGAAGGGGCAACUGGAAUUCUCGGUGUAGCGGUGAAAUGCGUAGAUAUCGAGAGGAACACCUGCGGCGAAGGCGGGUUGCUGGGCCGACACUGACGCUGAGGCGCGAAAGCUAGGGGAGCGAACGGG
rnacentral:rRNA from 1 species